GCAUUAAUGGGGUAGGGGUAGCCUGGGUCGUUGCCAUCGACUUGGCGGGGGUUCGAUUCCCCCCGUAAUGCA
rnacentral:tRNA from 1 species